AGUCCAAGAGAGUCUGUCGUAUGGUAUCUCUUUCUCAAUCUCUCUUCUGGUAUUUCUCAUCAAUCGUAAGAAACAAAAAUAGAAAAAAAAUUAGAGGGAAGAGUUCUAAUAGAGCACACCAGUAGCGAAUAAGGUGAUGCACCACCUUCAUUAGAUGCUUAGCGUGUUCAAGUUUCUUAAUCAAUGGUAGAUUUUCUACAAAUUUCGUCAAAUCUCAGUUUUUAGUCUGUAUUGAUCUCUAAUAAGGGUUUUUAUUUCUACCAGUUGUCUCAUCUUCUGUCGAUUCUUCCUUAGGGAUUUGAUUUAUAAUUAGGGGUUUGAUUUCUAACUGUCGAUUCCUCCUUAGGGAUUUGAUUUAUAAUCAGGGGUUUGAUUUAUUAUUAGGGAUUUGAUUUAUAAUUAGGGUUUUGAUUUCUAAUUAGGAUGCCGAUUUCUAACAAGGGUUUUGAUUUCUUCCUCGGGGUUAGGUUUUCAGAAUACAUGACUUCAUCACUGAAAUUCGAUGGCACCAAAGAAGGAGAAAGCUCAACGAAUCUGAAGCACCCAAUUUUCUGCAAUACUUAAUGAAAAAUUCAACUGAUUGUAGUUGGUUAGGUGGCUGCGAGAUCGGGAUGGGGAUGUAGUUGGAGAAGAGUCGGUUGCAACACCUAACAAAAUCAUUAAGCUGUUGCAUUAGGAGCCGUGUUAGGUGUUUAUGAAGACAAUAGGUUUAAGUCAGAUUCAAAGAAUCCACUGCUUAAGUCCGUAGAUAUUAUUGGUCUUGGUGUUGGACCUGAACUUGAAAACAAGCUCAAAUAUGCUAGUGAUGUUUGCUCAGGGGUUAUUUUUGGGCGAGAACUAGUUAAUGCACCAGCGAAUGUGCUCACCCCUGGUGAACUAGCAAAAGAGGCUUCAAAAGUAGCUUCCAUGUAUAGCGAUGUUUUUACUGCCAACAUUUUGGAUGUUGAACAAUGCAAAGAAUUGAAAAUGGGUUUGUAUUUGGUUGUUGCCGGCGCUUCUGCAAAUCCUCCUCAUUUUAUCCAUUUAUGCUACAAACGUCCUAGUGGGACUGUCAAAACCAAACUGGCUUUAGUUGGGAAAGGAUUGACAUUUGACAGCCAAAGAGAAGCCAGGUGCUUCUGUUUCACUAGCUUAAAGACGAAGACCGAAUAAAUUGAUAAGAUGAUUCCGCUCCAACAAAAAAGCAUCAUUGAAGGAGAGCAAAGAGAUGAAACUGAUAUUUUCAAUGAGGUUCUUGGAAUAAGAUUUAAAAGAAGAAUUCCGGAAGAUGCAAGCAGAUUACGAAUUAUUCCAACAAGAGAUAUCGAUUCAAAUCAUGAACCAAAUUGACCUGGAUGAAGAAGGGUUUCAAGUUAUGAGUAUAGUAUUUUAAAUUUUUAGUGUUUAGAAUACAAUUUCAAUUUAUGCUGGUUUUAUUGUUUUUAGGUUGUUUUCCAUAGUAACGGUAAAUGUUUUGAGCUCCAUCUGUUAUGAUUCUAAGAUUGUAAUAAAAAAAUGCGAAUAAAAAAGAUUGAAUGAAUUUUUGAUAUUAUUUUCGUUUGCGGUUCA